rnacentral:lncRNA from 1 species
GGAGAAGGAGAUGGUCCGAUGGAGCCCGUGCCCGUGCCACGCCGUUGCUUGUCGCUGGUGACUGUUGCGGUACGGUCGCUGGAUUACCGUGACUCCGGAUUGAUUAUUAUCUGCGCGGUUGGCUACGAGUGACUUGUUUACUUGUGCAGCAGGACGUGCUCUCGUAUACCAGCUGACGGGUCACGCACUGCGAGGAAUAAUCAAGCAGCGAUCAGGGGCGACCGCCGACCGGGUCGACGGGGCAGCGGUCAGAGCGGGGAGGAGCCCAAUAACGGACGGUUUACGCUACUACGCUCCUCCCGAGUCUUUGUUGACCCGAUUGUAUUGCGUUGGGAGACCGAGGGGACCUUUUUGUCAUUUUUGUCGAUUUCUGAUGGAACAUACAGAAGAUGGAGUUCGUUUGCUAUUCUCGUAAAAAUCGUCUAUUGCUGAUGGAACUCCUUCUAGCGCAAAGACUUCCAGAUAUUUGAGCGUAGAAUUAGGAAUUG